GGAGCUCCUGGCAGGACGCCAGCUGUUCUCCCUCUCACUGACUUGCCCUCUCAGUUUGCCGCGGAGAAAAGAACGUGCUUCCCCUACAGUCUACUAGCACUCAUCUGCUAUCUCCCUACCCUUCCCCCUCUCCUGGAGUGCACAGCCUGACUCAUUAGUCACGGGCCAGGGCCGGAUGUGCUGCAAAAGGGCUGUUGAUAAAGAAUGAACUAAAUCUACACUGAACUUCACCAUAAAGACUACGCUUCUUGCAAGAGCACAUGGGUAUCUCCUGUUCUGCAGCACACUGUUAGCUGCUGCUUGAACCACUGAUUGACCACCUGAGGCGAGCACUGAGUCAGCUGCAGGGGCACAGAUGAACACAAUUUCACCUGAGUCACCGGAAGGGUUCCAGGCACCUGUCCAGAAGAGAAGAAGAACUACAUACCCCAGGGGGCUUUGUGGUCAGAGAGGAGAUACAACCUCUGGAAAAGUCAUCUGUUGUCUCUUUCUUCUCUCGGCUCUCAUCCUGACCACACGCGUCGCCUCAGCACUACUAUAAGGCCUAUGGCUUUCAGAUACUCUUUCUCUCAUUAUAUUUGAUUUAUUAGCUUCAAUUCUAAUUACAUUGUAUUAUAGUGUGUUACCUUGCAUUCCAAUACCAUAUUUAGUAAAUUAGUUUGUUUCUCCUCAGAUCAUUGCUGCUGGCUUUUUAAAUUAUUUUGGGGUCCCCUGUUUCCCUUUCCUGGAGGCGUGGAUUUUGUGAAAUCCCUCUGCCCUGCUAGUCAUGGAACUGGGCCGAACCAGCCCAUAAACCGUCAACACAUAGUUACAGAAUAGCCUUAGAAAGCUAAUAUUGAAAUAAUUUCAGUUCCAGGUGCAAUGUCUGACAGAAGCAGUGCAGAUUGAGAGUACAAGGAAAAGAAUAGAUACAGCAAUGUUUUCCUAGACACUUACAUUCUUCCAAAUUUUAUGAUCUGUAAUUCAAAGCCGUCUUGACCCAGAAAUGAUUUUUUUUUUUUUUUUACUAUUUAAUAGGACAUAAAGCAUUUUUCUUGAAAAAAUCUAUCCAAAACAUCUUUAAACACGUGUAAACUUCUAGUGCACAAAAUGUCCUGUGGCAAAUAAUUCAAUGGCUUAACUAUGCUUUGUGUGAAUAAAAUAUUUUUCUUGUUGAUUCUGAAUCUA